UACGUAGGGUGCAAGCGUUGUCCGGAAUUAUUGGCGUAAAGAGCUCGUAGGCGGUCUGUCGCGUCGGCUGUGAAAACCUGGGGCUCAACUCCGGGCCUGCAGCCGAUACGGGCAGACUAGAAUUCGGUAGGGGAGACUGGAAUUUACGGUGUAGCGGUGAAUGCGUAGAUAUCGUAAGGAAGACCAGUGGCGAAGGCGGGUCUCCUGGACAGUUCCGUGACGCUGAGGCACGAAGGUCAGGGGAGCAAACGGG
rnacentral:rRNA from 1 species